UACGAAGGGGGGCUAGCGUUGCUCGGAAUUACUGGGCGUAAAGAGCGCGCAGGCGGCUGGCCAAGUCCGAUGUGAAAUCUCCCGGCUUAACCGGGAAACUGCAUCGGAAACUGGUCGGCUUGAAGGUGGGAGAGGGUAGCGGAAUUCCCGGUGUAGUGGUGAAAUGCGUAGAUAUCGGGAGGAACACCAGUGGCGAAGGCGGCUACCUGGCCCAUUCUUGACGCUGAGGCGCGAAAGCUAGGGGAGCGAAACGGG
rnacentral:rRNA from 1 species